AAGUCGUAACAAGGUCUCCGUAGGUGAACCUGCGGAGGGAUCAUUAACACGUAUCCAAACACGUUCAAACCCAAACCGUGCUCCUAUUAUCGCCUAUACGGGAAAGGUGACUCGUAAGCCACAGAUGGAUUCUCUCUUUGGCAACAAAGAGAGUCUGCUUGCAGUCUACGGUCCCUUGAGACCAGCCAAUCUCUUAUAGCGUAUUCCUUUAAGCCAUCUGGUUACUAGUGCCACCCCGAUUUCGACUCGGAGCCUAGUAGCCUUAUUGAACCUCCCAACACAUUUUUUUACCCCUUUCUUUUAUAAAACUUAACUGACUUCUUAUAAUCCUGUAAUGGGAUUAUAUGUAUACGAAACGCGAACAACUCUUAGCAAUGGAUAUCUUGGUUCUC
rnacentral:misc_RNA from 1 species